AGAUUAAAUAAUUUUCUAAAUAAAAUUAAAAAAAGAAGCAGAUAUAUUUCCUAUGUGGGUGCAGCCACUGUUGUUGGUGGGAAGUUAGGAAGGUAGGAUACAGAUGGAAAUUUAUUGUACAUUUGUAAACAACGAUAAAACAUUGCUUAUGAAAAAACGAUUCUGAGCAGAGUUUAGUUGAUAGUGAUGCUUUGUCAACAAUACAUA